UACGGAGGGUGCAAGCGUUGCUCGGAAUUACUGGGCGUAAAGCGCACGCAGGCGGUUUGAUAAGUCGGAUGUGAAAGCCCUGGGCUCAACCCAGGAACUGCAUUCGAAACUGCCAGACUUGAGUUCGAGAGAGGGGGGUGGAAUUCCUGGUGUAGAGGUGAAAUUCGUUGAUAUCAGGAGGAACACCGGCGGCGAAAGCGGCCCCCUGGCUCGAUACUGACGCUCAUGUGCGAAAGCGUGGGGAGCAAACAGG
rnacentral:rRNA from 1 species